rnacentral:tRNA from 1 species
GUGGGUGUAGCUCAGGGGUAGAGCACCUGACUGUGGAUCAGGUGGUCGUGGGUUCAAAUCCCAUCAUCCACC